AUAUCUCGCUCGCACACUCCGGUUCCUGUGCGCUGCCCACACCCGACCGACAACUGCUCGCUACGUGUUGCCAGCU
rnacentral:sRNA from 3 species